rnacentral:lncRNA from 1 species
AAAGCCGUAGAUAUCCUCUUCCUGCUACACAUAGUAUUAGCCUACGUAAGGUCAUUACGGCGCCGUUUCCCUUUUUAAUUGGCGUAGUUCAACUCAUCAUCCACCCAAGUUCAUUUCGUUCAAAGCUAUAAAUAACCCCUCAAACCAUUCAACUUUCCCACCACCACUCCUCACUCCUUCAACUCAUUAACCUCUCUCUCUCUCUCUCCUUCAACUCAUUAACCUCUCUCUCUCUCUCUCUCUCUCUCAUUUUCAUCCGCAAAUGGCGAACCGUAGAAGCCUCUUUUCUCUCUCACUUAUCUUUGUGUUCAUGAUCAACUCAGCCAUAGCCACUCCAGUCACAUACAAUGUGGCCAGUUUAGGAGCCAAAGCAGAUGGCAAGACUGACUCCACAAAAGCCUUCCUCUUUGCAUGGGCUAAAGCUUGUGCCUCGAUGAAUCCCGGUGUCAUUUAUGUGCCGGCAGGAACGUUCUUUCUUCGCGAUGUGGUGUUCAGUGGGCCUUGCAAGAACAAUGCCAUCACCUUCCGCAUUGCCGGAACCCUUGUGGCCCCGUCGGAUUACCGGGUCAUCGGUAAUGCAGCUAACUGGAUUUUCUUUCACCAUGUAAACGGGGUUACCAUAUCAGGUGGAAUUCUUGACGGCCAAGGCACGGCCUUGUGGGCUUGCAAGGCCUCUCAUGGCGAGAGUUGUCCCAGCGGAGCAACGGUAAUUAAUUCACUACUUUAAAUAUCAUAUUCAUGACACCAUUAAAUAUCAAAUUCAUGACACCAUUAUUUUGUGCUUCAUUAUUAGUGAGAAUUUUAAAGGUCAACGUACGUACAAUUUGCUUUAUUAUUUGCUACCAAUUGAAUUGAGGGUUUAUAAAAUAAGUUUAAACUCUACAGAACGUAAUCAAAUGGACAUGAUAAAUUGUACCACAAGCUUAGCUUGAUCAAGUAAUUUCGUGUAUAUAUGUGCAGACUUUGGGUUUUUCCGACUCAAACAACAUCGUGGUGAGUGGAUUGGCAUCCCUAAACAGCCAAAUGUUCCACAUAGUCAUCAACGACUGCCAAAAUGUGCAAAUGCAAGGUGUCAGGGUUUCUGCUUCCGGGAACAGCCCUAACACCGAUGGCAUUCAUGUCCAAAUGUCAUCUGGUGUCACAAUCCUCAACUCCAAGAUUGCAACCGGUGACGAUUGUGUCUCAAUUGGCCCCGGAACCUCAAAUUUGUGGAUAGAAGGCGUUGCUUGUGGACCUGGCCAUGGAAUUAGGUACGACAUCAAAAUUAUAUAUUUAUCCAUGAUUGAUCAAACUAGCUAAAUGCAUACUAUUUCAUAAUAUAUGUUAUAAUGUAUAUCUUUUUUCUUCGUUGCUUAAUGACAUUUGAACUUAGGACAUCUUUCAAUAAAGUGGAGAUUAAUUGGUUGCUAGUAGAGAUUCAUUGCCUACAAAAAGUAUAUCUUUCUUUUGGGUGGAUGUUCUAGUUGUAAAUUUAACAUUGCUUUAUUUGAUGGUUCAGCAUUGGAAGUCUAGGCAAGGAGCAAGAAGAGGCCGGUGUACAAAAUGUAACAGUUAAAACGGUUACCUUUACUGGUACUCAGAAUGGUCUAAGAAUCAAGUCAUGGGGGAGGCCAAGCACUGGGUUUGCUAGAAAUAUUCUUUUCCAACAUGCUACAAUGGUCAAUGUCGAAAAUCCUAUUGUCAUAGAUCAACAUUAUUGCCCCGACAACAAAGGGUGCCCUGGUCAGGUAAGAUAUCAUUCUUGCUCUAACGGUCAAUUCCCAGAGUUUAAUAUUACAACUAAAUUUUCUCUUCUUCACUUUCAUAGUGUAACGUUUUUGAUAAAAACGUUGGCAUCGCCAAAUUAUAACUGUCUAAUUUCGAAACAUAUCAAAAGCUUUCUUGGGCUUCCACCUAGAAGAGCCAAUAAUUUUAGACCCAAAGCAAAUCCAAUAACUCCUUCUUCCAUGGGCUUGCUCUCCUACUACUUACAAAGGUCGAGCCUUGCCCAUUGUAACCUUUGUAACUUAUUAAUUUCAUUGUAUGUGCAAUGAGAUUGAGGGUUGUAGCUUAAGUGGUUAACAAUAUUUACUCAUGUAUUCGAAGUUCUAGAUUUAAUUCCCCUCUUUUCCAAUACCAUUUUUAUCAAAAUGACUUCAUCGUAGCUUAGCCAAAAAAGCAUUAAACUUCCCAUUAAGCCGAAUUACCAUGCUAUAAUGCUUGUUCACCUUCUGUUUUAUCAAAAGCUGGAAAUCUGACUUCCUAUUGUUUUUUUUCUUUUGUCAAUUUUGUUUUUCGAUAGGUUUCCGGAGUUCAAAUUAGCGAUGUGACAUACGAAGACAUACACGGUACAUCAGCAACAGAAGUUGCAGUAAAAUUUGAUUGCAGUCCCAAGCACCCUUGCAGCGAGAUCAAAUUGGAGGAUGUGAAGCUUACUUACAAGAACCAAGCAGCUGAGUCUUCAUGUAGCCAUGCAGAUGGAACAACUGAGGGUGUGGUUCAGCCUACAAGUUGUUUGUAGAGUGGAAAAAUAUGAACUGCUUGUAGAAGUAUUGAAAUCCAAAAGUUUGCCCUCCAGUACUAAGGACAAAUGAAAAGUGAAUUAUACGAUUUAUAUAGGAAGAAUGAGCUUGUGUUGUUGGCAGCCUACUUGGGCUUCCCUUGAGCCUGGCCGUUCAAUUAGUUUAGUUUGUUCAAACUCGUCCACUUCGAUGGGUGUUUAUGUUAUGAAUUGUUGUAAGAUUAUGUUCGGGAUACGUUAAAUUUAUAAGAUUAAAUUUUAUGUUGAUGGCUAAUGUGGCAUUUGACAUAGGAUUCAAUAUUCUAUCAAUUUAAUUCACAAUUUUAUUAUAAUCGAAGCACACAUUAAAUAGUAAAAAUUUGGUUCAAGAAACAAAAGGAUUUGAAGUCUCGCAUGAACUUUUUGGUUGGAGCAUUUUCUCAUGUCAAAUUUUACCCGUUAAAAAUUUAUUAUGAUAUUUUAACAUUUCGGUUGGAGUAUUUUUUUCAUGUCAAAUUUGACCCGUUAAAAAUUUACUAUGGUAUUUUAGCAUUUCGGUUGGAGAUGUAUAAAUCUUAAAAAUGCAUUCAAGAUGCAUUUUUGUUUCUUAAGCUUUGAGCUUUAGGUAAUUAACUUUAAAUGUUGUUGGGCACCUUGCACUAGUUGAUUAAAGAAAAAUAGACCCGAAGCAAGAUUCCUUGUAGUUGCCAAUUCGAAGUUUUCUUUAUCGCUACAUACUUACUGGUCUACAAGUUCUCUCUCUAAUACAUAAUUUGACAUAAAUAAAUACAGUGAAGAGUGCAUUGACUAAACAGAAAAAAAAACAAAAAAAGCAGCACGUAAGCAAUUACGUGCAUUUGGUGUAAAAGCUAAAGGCCUCUGAUUUAUGUAAGCAGUUACGGUAAUCAUAUUAUAUUAUAUGUAUCUUAGUUCUGCAAUUGUAACAGGAAUAAUAUUGUUUUGUUAUCCCCAAUCAAUAAUACAAUGAUACGUGAAAAAGUUAUUUAACAUGUCAUUGCGUUAUUAGCUGGGGAUAGCAAACAGUGCUAUCCCCAUUACAUGAAAGUCUUUCUCCUGCAUAUCCUAUUAUACUAUUAUAAAACUCAAUUGGUCAAUCAUAGUGAAAAAAAUAUAGUGAAAGAAAAAAGAAGAAGAAGAAAAUAUCAAUUAAGCCCCUCUUAUAUUGAACACUUCAAUAAUAAAAUAAAAAUUGCAUAUGGAGUAAAGUCAGUCAGUUAAGAUAGUAUGCUAGUUCUUUUGCACCUGAGUUCAAUUUCCUUCCCCGAACAUUUUCAAAUAAAUAAUAAUAAAAUAAAAUGUGAAUUUGAUAGUCAAUGUCGUAGUAAAAUAUGGUUUUUUAGUAUCAAUAUUAAGGAAAGCCAUUGUUCUUUCUAGCAGAAUGCCCGCCACUGCUAGAGAGAGAGAGAGAGAGAGAGCGGAAUGGCAGAAGUGAGUAACAAGCAGGUGAUACCGAGGGAGUAUGUCACUGGCUUUCCCAAAGAGUCAGACUUGUACGUGAAUAGCACUGCUACUAUCAAGUUGAAGCUUUCUGAGGCCCCCGAGCAUGAGGGUUCUUCAAAGAAACUAGUUCUAGUGAAGAAUCUUUACUUGUCCUGCGAUCCCUACCAACGACUAUUUAUGGAAAGAAUCGAAGGCCUCAGCAGCCAAUCCACUUCCUCCUAUACGCCUGGUUCUGUAAGCAAAACCCAUCAUAUAUCUUUUCCUUUCAAUUUCUGUAAACAUAUAUACCAAAUGUUAUGCUCAAAUAUAUAUUAAUUGUUAAACAUUGUUCCCUUAAAAAAAACAAUUUAUUGCAAAAUUGGAAUAUACAAGAGGUAACUCUGCACAAAUAUUAAUGACAAGAUGAGGUGGCUAAAAGCACUGUUAAUGUCUAUCAGCGCGCAAUGAGCACGAAUAACUGUGAUUAUUAAGUAGUAGGAGCUGAUAGUUGUUUUUGUUACCACAUCCUAUGCCACAAAUAUUAAUUAUUACCAAUUAUUCUUCUAGUAAUGCUUGUUUUUUUGUUGAUGGCAACAUUGGGAGGAGGGAAUCAAAUACAAGUUUGAUCAUAUGAUUAAUUUAAUUUUGUUGGUGUAAACGUGCAGCCAAUAUACGGGUAUGGAGUGGCUAAAGUUUUGGACUCUGGGCACCCAGAUUUGAAGGCAGGUGACUUAGUUUGGGGGACUACCUAUUGGGAAGAGUACAGCCGAAUCCCUGAACCCGAAGGCCUGAUCAAAAUCCAGCACACUGAUGUACCUCUAUCCUAUUAUACUGGAAUUCUUGGUAACAAGUCAAACCUAUUUUAGAUCAUGAUGAUAUGUGUUGGUUUAGAUACGUAAGUGUAUUUUUUGUAAUUUCAUUUCAGGUAUGCCUGGUUUGACCGCUUAUGUUGGUUUCUAUGAAAUUUGUUCUCCUAAGAAAGGAGAACAUGUCUUCAUUUCAGCAGCAGCUGGUGCUGUUGGUCAGCUUGUUGGACAAUUUGCAAAAUUAAUGGGUUGUUAUGUUGUUGGAAGUGCUGGCAGUAAGGAAAAGGUACGAACUUGAGAAAUCUUUGAACUUCAAAUUAAUAUUAUCUACACCAUUUUUUCUUGUUUGGGUUGUAUUUUGCUGUUGUUAUUUGGGCCAACUUUGGUGUUGGUUUGGUUUGGGGCCUCUGUUUGUGCGCUGGGACUACAAUGAGUGGAAAGUUAUAAGGGGUAAGUUAUAAGGGGUUCACUUUAUAGCCAUCAGAUCAAUCCAAGGGCUGGGGAGAAUUGAGAUAAAGUUUCACAAUUGGGUAGGUGAGGAACCCAAACCCGAAUUGAAUAUCCAGCACGUCCAAAAAGAAGAAGAAGAGGGAAACACGUUCGAAAAAGAAGAAGAAGAGGCAAGUUCGAAGUUUGAACAGAAAGAACUCAUCUCUCUAAAACCCAGAGGUCUGAGAUACCCAAUGAAGGCAACGGCUAACGACAGUUGAAGGCAACGAUUCGCCACUCCGUUCUCCAGACCCUGAAAAAGUAUUUAUUUGGAGUAGAAGGGGCAAAGGUGUGGAUUCCAAAUCAAUGAAGGGGCGAAGCAGUGGAAGGGGAAGGGGAGAAGCUAUAAUCGUUGGAAGUGGUAGGUUCCAUUUGUGGAGCAAAGAAACAGAAAGACCCCACACAGACACCUUGCAAUAACCAGCAUUUGGUGAGUAAUUUAUGGAAUUUGAGUUUAGGGUUAGAGUAAUGGUUUUCCUCAAUUUGUAGCAUAAAUUUUGUUGGAUUUGGCAUCUCUUCGUUGUGCUUGAGUUGCAUGUUAAUUUUUGCUUAGGUAUAUGUUAAAAAAAGAAUGAAAAUCAAGUCAAUAACAAGUGAAUAACAUGUCAAUAAUGAUAUGAAUAAGAUAAUGGUGUUGAAUUGGAGGAGGCCCUCAAAACCUUCCACAUUUGAAGCAGUGCAUAGUGCAGAUUAAGAAGAGGCGGUAGAAUAUAUAUAUAUAUAUAUAUAUAUAUAUUUUAUGAAGUAAAUAUGAUUUCCUUUGUUACUAAAUUUGCCUGAGAAACAUUUGAACAGAUAAUAAUAAACUCAUGAAUAGAAGUGCAAAGCAUUUGAUGAGUAAUUUAAGGAAUUUGAGUUUAGGGUUAGAGUAAUGGUUUUCCCCAAUUUGUACCAUCAAUGUUGUUGGAUUUGGCAUCUCUUAUUUGUGCUUCAAUUGCAUGUUAAUUUUUGCUUGGGUAUAUGUUAAAAAACGAAUGAAAAUAGAGUCAAUCACAUGUCAAUAACAUCUCAAUAACAUGUCAAUAACAUGUUAGUAAUGAUAUGAAUAAGAUAAUGGUGUUAAAUUGGAGGAGGCGCUCAAAACCUUCCACAUUUGAAGCAGUGCAGAGUGAAGAGUACCUCUCUGGCCCUAGAAUUUAUAUAUUUUGUGAAAUAAAUAUGAUUUCAUUUGUUACUAAAUUUGCCUAUGAGAAAUGAGAACAGAUAAUAAUAAACUCAUGAAUAAAAGUGCAAAGCAUUUGAAAUGAAGGUUGAUCUAUGACGAUUGUGGGUGACUGAAGAAAAAGCUAGAAAGAAAGAAGGAUGUGGCAAUUGCUUAGCAAGCAGAUAGCAGAGUAGAUGCUUUGCUUUGCUUCCUUCCACUAUAUUUCUUAUUUAUUUAUUUUGUGUUGUGUAUGAGAUGACAAUAAUUGUCAUGUGUGUGAAGUGCAGAACUUGCCUACAUUGCACUCACACGAGUAUGGAUCCAUAAAUAAAACACGUGAAAUUGUUUGUAAUUCACAUAAUCAUUGCAUUAACAGGUAUUUGCACAAAAUUUGUCAUAUUGCUUUGAUGAUGUUAAAGCCUAUGAUCAGUAAUCCGUAUGCUCAUGUACUUUGUAAAAUUUGUAAUGUGCCUGGUUGACUAGUUGUGAUUGUGCAAAUACGUGGCAGUAUAUGUGUUCACGUUAUUUCACAUUGUAUUUGAGGAAAUGGGAUCCAACGUGGAGCUGGUAUGGCCAGAGGCAGAGGCAUAUUCGUCACGGGUGAACAACUGCUCACAUGCAAAUUCAUCUCUAGCUGCAAUUCGAGCGAAGUUGAGUGCGGAACAAUUAGAACAAUUCAAGACAUCAUGCUUUGGCCAUCUUCUGAAUAUAGAUAAGAUUCAGUUUAGCGGGCAGAUUGUGCAUGGGGCUGUGUUGCGUAGAGUAGCGGGGCAGGGUGUGAAAGACUUGGAUGGACUGAGUUUCUUAUUAGGGUGUGACGUUGCUCAGUUCACUCGUCAGGAUUUCUGUUUGAUCACAGGGCUUCGUUUUGGGGAAGUGCCUGAAGUUUCCAGUGGAGAGAGUGAUGUAAUCAGACUUCAGAAAAGAUAUUUUAUAGACGAAGGAAUUACAUGCAAUGCUUUAGAAGAAGCAUUUAUGGGGUGCACAGAGGAAGAUGACAUCUACAAGCUAGCUCUUGUUUACUUUGCUGAGUUAGUGGUUUUGGGAAGGGACAAACAUUUGAACAUCAAUCUAAAUUACCUGACCCUUGUAGAGGACUUGGAUGCGUUCAACAGGUAUCCGUGGGGUUCGGUGUCCUUUGACAAAACCCAAGACAGUCUAUUUUCUGCACCAACAAAGUAUGUGAAAAGCUUGCAAAAUGAAGAGGGAAGAGGGAAGGGGAAAAGUAAGGUAACGGGAACAAGCCGGAGAAAUGAGAAGGGCAGGAAGGAUAAGCAUGGUGAAGCGCAAAGGAGUGGCUGGAGUUUUAAAGGUUUCACGUAUGCUUUCCAGGUACAUGGUAAUAAUGUUCAUGUGAGUUAUGUUUUGUUUUUCUUUAAAACAUAAAUAAUGACUUUUGUCCUGUGAAUUGUGUAGAUUUGGGUAUAUGAAUUAAUUCCUAGAAUGGCGGACCUGAAUUACUGCAAGGUUGUUGAUCCGACCGCUGUCCCGCGUAUUUUGCGAUGGAGAACUACUACGUCUGUUCCAGAGAUGAGAAAGUUGAACAAUUAUUUUUUCCAGAGCAAAGAGGUUUGGUUUGCAGCCCUUGGAACUAUUGAUAAGAUUGAAUGAAAUUUUGAAGUAGAAUGAUUUAAUAUGACUGUGGUUUGUAUUCUGAAACAGUCAGUUCAGUUGCGGGCGCUAUGUCCGAGUGAAGAGGAAAUGAGACAGCCAUAUUGGAGUUGGCCACAGGAUCGCCCUGAUGAGACAGCCAUAUUGGAGUUGGCCACAGGAUCGCCCUGCUGUUGUCUCGGCAGAGUCAAUUCCUUCUUUAUGUGGUGAUCUUGAUCAGUUGAACAAGGUGGUAAGCUUGUUGAGGUCCGAGUUGUUUCAAGUAAAGCGGGAAAAAGACGUCCUUCACUUAAAGGUCAUACGGAUGGAAAAACUGUUGGACCAAUGUUUAGGUCCUCAGUUUGAGCAGGAAGUAAGGAGGGACCUAGCUUUACUGAAACAGAGGACGAAGCGUUGUGUCGUCUCACAUCUAUUUAGGGGAUAUCGGGAAUUGGAUGACAUUCAAUGGGAUGAAGGGCCAAGUAACAGAAAUGAGGGAGAGGAAAAGGAAGAUGAAGGGAUUGAAGGGGGUGAAGGGCCAAGUAAUAGAAAUGAGGGAGAGGAAAAGGAAGAGGAGGGGAUUGAAGGAGAGGAAAAGGAAGAGGAGGGGAUUGAAGGGGGUGAAGUGCAAGGAAUACCAAGUGAGGUAGAGGAAGGGCAAAGGAAAAGAAGUGAAGGAGAGCAAGUGCAAGUAAAAAGUAGCAAAGGAGAGGAAGCCCAAAGACAGAGCAGUGAGGGAGAGGAAGUGAAAAGAAAAAGCAGUAAGGGAGAGAAACUGCAAAGGAAAAAAAGGGAGGGCAAGGAAGUGAAAACACAAAGAAGUGAGGAAAAGGAAGUGCAAAGAAACCAAUGUGAGAAAGAAGAUAAUGAAGUUAUGUUGCUUGGGGAUGACAUUGGCGAGAGCACGGAGGGGACACUGCUUGAGUUUACUGUCGGGGACAUUGAUUUGGAUCAACCUACAGCUGUGCUAUCUCAGUUGAACGUGUGGUUGAAUGAUAAAGGUAAAGCUGUGGCACAAGGGGUCCAAUUACGGAAAAGGAAGAGGAUCAUUCCUAUGUGGAAGAUCAUUGAAGGCAUUGAAUUGGUUCCAAAAACUGGGGCACAGACAACCGGACUGAAGAUGUUAGACCCAAUGAAGGCGAUUCCGCAUGAUGAUCUGGUGAAUUUGCUGAAACUUUGUUGGGAAUGGCGCCAGGACCCAAAGUAAGUCCCUUGCAAUUAUAAGAUAGAAGCACGACUGUAUAUAAUUUUUAAUAUACAGUGUUCUAAAACUGUUUUAUAUUCAUAGUUUAGUGAUGCAAUUUGGCAACGUGGAAGCUGAGAUUGAAUUCUUCGCUUCCCUCGUGAAAGCUGAUGGUUGGCUGAAAGGAGAUGUAAGUGUAAUUGAUUAUGCAUUUGUUUUAAUGUAUAUAGAUUAUGAGAUUGACAAGAACAACAUGUUGCAGCACAUUGAGUUGGGGUUGUAUCUCAUCCGGAAGCGACAACAACAGUUUGAGGAAGUAGAAAUAGCGGACUGGACAACGACAGAUGUUUUUUUUAUGGUAUGUCAUCGGCCUUGACCAAGUGCCGUUAAUAAUUACACAUUUUCCAUACAGACAAUAGUGGAGGUGUUUAACCAUUGAUUGUUUUGUAUUUCACAGAAUCACAUUCGAACUUGCUUUGCGGAUAAUAAAAGAAAAAAACAGCAGCUUGGGUGGAAAAUCAGAAAAAGUUUACUAAACGUUGUAAAUGGGAAGGUUCCUCCGUGUGGGAUGGAUUGGCAGAACGUCUAUACGGUGUAUACCCCAGUUAUGUUGACGAAGUACAAGCAUUGGGUGGCUGUAAUGAUUGAUCUGGUAUUGUGUGAAAUCAAAGUGUACGAUUCAAAGGUUUCACUAAUUCCAGAUGACAUCGUAAAGGAAGAACUCGCCCCGCUAUCAAUUAUGCUUCCAAAUCUUCUCAACACCAUCGACUUUUAUGAAGAAGGUGUUUAUGCAAACAAUUGCAUGCGAGAUUGGUGGUGUCCGUGGCCAAUAGAGCGUGUGGAUGUUCCACAACAGUCUAAUGAGUAAGCACAACUUGCAAUUUAAUUUUAUUACUUUCAAUUGUCAAUUACGUUAGAAUGUCAUUAGUUGAAUUGAUCGAGUUCUUGUUUUGCUUCAGAGGCGAUUGUGGCAUGUUUGUGUUAAAGUACAUUGAGCUUAUCAGCGCUCAGCUUUCGUUAGCUAUUUGCACCUCGCACAACAUGCCUUUUUUUCGGUUGAAAUUGGCUGCGGAGAUAACAAGGGGAGAUGCUUACUUCCCAUGAUAUUGGUUGAAGAUGACAAAUGGUACAUGAGAAGGUUUUGGGAAUGUCCAUUCUCAAACUAAUGUAAAUACACAAUAGAGACGUACGUGUCCUUUUCGAAUUCUACCGCUAACUCCUUCAUGACAUUUACAUGUUUGUUAACCAAACUGCAUUGAAUUGGAAUUUUAAGACUGCAUAUGUUAAUUGGGAUUUGAAGAUGGCUUUUUAAGUGUAUUACACCAUUGCAAAGUGAUAUGUCAUUGUUGAUGCAAGCCACCAUUAUUCGCAAUGAGUUGCAUCAUAAUAGGUGUGUAAACAUGCGAAAGGUUUUCGGCAGCUCAGUAGCAUAAAAGUAGAAACAAUUACAAUAUACACAAAAUGAACAACAAUUCACUUGCGUUUGGACAAGCAAUACAGACACAACAGACAAACAAUAUACACAAAAUUGGCCUGCCAUAUACAGACAUACACACAGUAGACAUGCAAUAUACACACAGUAGACAUGCAAUAUACACACAAUAGACAUGCAAUAUACACACAAUACACAUGCAAUAUACACACAAUACUCCCUUAACACACACAAUAGACAUGCCCUUGCCCACAAUAAUGAUGCAAUAUACUUCAGUCCCCAAGUACACCAACCAUAAGGAAGUCGUAUUGAAUAGGAUAUUAAACUUAACAGUUGUUCUUCCUACUAAAAGAAAGAAUAACGUCCGUUUCCCCCCUUCAUUCUUACUUCAGUGAUACUUGUGGCCCCAAUAAACAUCCAAUAUUGGGUCAAGGAUAUUCCAUAUACAUGCAGCAAACUAUCAAUAAACCUUCAAUAAACAUUCAAUAUCGGUUCUAUAACAUGCGAAAUACAUGCAGUUAACAAAUAUUACAAAAUGGGUUUAGGGUCUCAUUGGUGGUGCGUGCAACAUGUCUUGUGCGGAAGAACUUUCACAAUCUUUGAAACCAUGCAGUUAAAUGAUCCUUAAAAGAACAAAUAAAAUGACAAUUGAUACAACUAAUAAAACUAAUACCAAGUCCUUAAUGGACUUCAGCAUGUUCAGCACUCUAGCAUCAUACGUGUCAUCUUGAUGUUCUGCUUCAGCGGAGGUUACAUCAACCCAUUCGAAUCCAUUGCAACUGGUGGCUCCCUAAUUGCAGGCAUCAUAUAUGGAAUAUAAUUCUGUUAGAGUUAGACAUGGGUUUAUUUUGACCCACAUACAUAUUAUUGAAAUUAAAACUUACAUAGGAGGUUAGACACUUCCAGAAUGGCUUCCCUCGAUUUUUGUCAGAUUUUGAAACCCGAAGCACCAUUGUAGCUCCACAAUACUGACACCUCUUUGUUUGAGCAGGAGAUGAAGACGAAGACAUGUUGAAUCUUCUCAGUUGUACCUCUUCUCACUCAGAUCUUCUCACUGAAACCUCUUCGGACUCAUACCUUCUCACUCAUCGUUGUCAUUCAUACCCCUUCACUCAUAACCCUAAACUUGUCACUCAGCUCUCUCUCAUCUCUGCCCAAAUCGAGUUAUAUUUCUUUUUUUUGGGAUCAUUUGGUGGGUUGGUCACGAUCUCGACACCCGUACCGUCGGCAUUGCGACAUCUUUUAGCCCGAAAAGCAAUAUAAACUACUUCACUACCAAAUAUAUUUUCUGAAAAAUGAGGGGACACUGCUUCAAAUUUAUUAUUUUAUAUAUAUUUCAUUAAGGCAACUAGUUGGAUAAGAAUCCGUCAUUAUUGGUUCCAUUUGAAUAACAUUACUAGGGGUAGUUGGGUGUGGGAAAAUGAAAAAGUAUAUGAUGGGACCUUCUGUCACUACUCAGUAAUCCAUCACAUUUGUAUCAAUGAAUUUGAUAGUGGGAUAAUCCCACAAAUGGCUAUGCAAAUAGCCAUUUAAUGAACUUUUUGACUGUCUGACUCUGUAUGCACCGUUAUGACGUUUUCCCUUCUUUUGUCUUCAGUUUUAAUUCACUUGGGUUCAGUUUCUUUAAAAAUGGUCAACUUGGAAAAACCCCAACUGGAAACACCUUUUCAAAACACUAUAAACAGAGGCUAAAACAAAACGUGUACCCCAAAUAUUCUCAUUUAUCCCCUCUGCCACUCCUCAAAUCGUUCCAUUCCAAAAACUUUUCAAUGAAUUCGAAACACUUCACUACAGUCGGAGGAAAGAGAAGGAAGCAUCUCCAUUUCGAUAUGCCCGAAGCCUUCAUCCCGGAGUCCGCUUGGUUUCAAGUGAUGUUAUACGUGGCAACCGAAUCAUCGGAAGAUCUCUUCCGUAUGGCAUCUGUGUGCCCAUUGUUCCAAACUUUGGCAAACAGUCCACAAGUGUGGAACACCAUUUCAAUGGCAAAGUACCCACACCAUCCUAGCUGGUACCGUGCCAGACCUGCGGUCCAGCAUUUCUUGCAACAAUGCAGGGCUUGCGAUAACCCUGAGUCGAUAUUUAGAGAAGCAUUCGAUAUUUUUUUCAGGGCCAGUAAGGUGGAAGCGUUGUAUGGGAUGCGCAUUGCAGCCACGGCAGGCCAUAUGGAAGCGGCAUAUGUAGUUGGACUACUUGGUAUAUCCGGAAUUGGUCAGUCAAAAGAGGAUGCAUUACAAUUCUUGUGUUCUUUGAAUCAACGUAACAACAUUGAUAUGAAAGGAACCAGGGAUGCUUUGACACGAAGAUUAACCGGACCAAGAGUUGCAAGACAUAUCGUAGAUAUAUUUGACUAUGGGAAGAUUAAGUUCAAUCGCUGCAGCACUUGUAACAACAAUGAAUGGUAUUUUGUUAUUCAAGGCUGGCCUAGUGAAGACAAGAUAAAUCCUGCCUUCUAGACUUGUUGCAAUCGAUGCAAAUGGCACCGUGAGAGUAUUUUUUGGUUCAAACUGAUGCGUGAGUAUGUUGUGCGAGGGAAUCAUGUAUUUUUGCAUUAGUUUUAGUACGAAUUUACGGUUUUGAUGCAUUGUGGACUUACUUCUCUUCACUUCUAGGUUGGCUGGCUACGUUGUACAAAUGUUGUUUAAAUGUUGUUUAAAUGUUGGUAUUUUGUCAUAAACCGUUUUAUAUAUAAAUGUAUAAUAUUUAUUAUAUAGCGGAAUUAUUACUUACAUCAUAGACGGCUACGAAUGACAUUUUACUGACACAGAUAUUUUGCUCACCCACCCCAAUAUUCAUAUUUGGUAAACGAAAAGUCAUGCAUGGAGUAAAUAGGUGUCUUUUCACCAAUGCUUGGGAAUGACAUUUUCCCACUUAGCAUAUUCGACAGGAUUUGGUUACACGUUUCUUAAGCAAAAGUUGAACAGUGAAUGACGUUGAAUAAUUUGUUUGUGUGGAAGGAGUACAAUGGAUGACUUGUAUAUUUCCAUAUUAUGUUUGAAAACAUCCCUUCAACCUAAAAAAUAAAAAAAUUAACAAAUUGAAGAACAGAGAAACCGAUGAGCACUACAAAUGGCCUAUUCGCACGGAAAAUAAAAUUGUUUUAAACAAGUUGGACUAAAUAUAAUUAACAAAUGGACAGCCUAAAAAGUAAUAUCAUAAUAAUUAUAAUAAUUGUGGAUUAAUAAUAAUAAAAUACUAAUGUAGCAUAACCAUGAAACAGGGAAUUCAGUAGGAAGAUGAAAUCUCAAUAAGUUCGUUGAAAUGUUCGGAUCGUUUUUCUAAUUUUUGUGUAUUUAGUUCUGAAUUUUCCAAGAAAAAAAGUAAUUAAAUAAUAAUUUAGGGUAAAAUGGGAUGAUGUGGCCAUGUUGACUGACGUACACUUGUGCAAGUACUCAUAAGUGAGGGGCUGAGAUCGCGCCAGGUGUCUUCUUGGAAUUAGGGUUGGCUAUUUUAGUGGAAAAAUCCUUGAAAAUAGGUAAAAAAUAGUAGGAAAUUCCUAUUCUAGGUUGGGAAAAUUACCCGCGCCUCCUUGUGACGUCAUAAAACUAGGAGAACCUAUAAAUCAUCCGUCUCGCAAUGAAAUAAUCCAAAAUGUUUUACAUAACUCACUUCCCUCUUUACCCUAAGUAUUGAUGUUUGUUAACUUGAACUUCAAUAACCUACUUCAACAAGCAUCUCCCGUUAAUGUUGGGAAUAAUUGUCUAAAAUGCGUAACAAUGAAUCGGAGAAUUCAGCAAGGGAGAUGGAGUGUCAAUGAGUUCGUAGCAAUUUUCGGAAAUAAUUUUGAAUUUUUGUGUAUUUAGUUAUGAAUUUUGUAAGACAAAGUAAUAAAAUAAUAAUUUAGGGUAAAAUGGGAGGAUGUGGCCAUGUUGACUGACGUACACUUGUGCAAGUAGUCAAAAGUGCCGGGCUGAGAUCGCGCCAGGUGUCAUCUUCUUUUCAAUUUUGGAUUCUUUUGUUAAAAAAUCUUUGAAACUAAGUAAUAAAUAGUAGGAAAAUCCUAAAAAUGCCCCCAAAAUUACUCCGGCCUACUUGUGACGUCAUAAAACUAGGAGAACCUAUAAAUCAUUCGUCUCGCAAUGAAAUAAUCCAAAUUGUUUUACAUAACUCACUUUCCUCUUAACCCUAAGUAUUGAUGUUUGUUAACUUAAACUUGAAUAACCUACUUCAACAAGCAUCUCCCGUUGAUGUUCGGAAUUAUUUUUAAAAAUGCGUAACAAUGAAUCGGAGAAUUCAGCAAGGGAGAUGGAGUGUGAAUGAGUUCGUAGCAAUUUUCGGAUAAUUUUUUUAAUUUUUGUGUAAUUAGUUCUGAUUUUUGUAAGGAAAAGUAAUAAAAUAAUAAUUUAGGGUAAAAAGGGAGGAUGUGGCCAUAUUGACUGACGUACACUUGUGCAAGUAGUCAUAAGUGACGGGCUGAGAUCGCGCCAGGUGUCCUCUUGCUAUUAUUUUGGCUUUUUUAGUGCAACAAUCUGUGGACAUAGGUAAUAAAUUCUACGAAAAUCCAAAAAAUGCCCGGAAAAUGAGAAAAUGAAAAUUAUUUGUACAUAACUCACUUUCCUCUUAACCCUAAUUCACGUGUAACACGUAUAUUUCGGAUAAUAUUCGAUAUAUAAUUUGUAAUAAUACAAUAUUUAGUUUCACUAUAUACAAUAAUAUGUUUUGUUAUAAUAAUGUACAUAAAUAAUAAUUGCACAUGCUUUGAAGCCAUCAUUGCAACUACGCCUAGAGCUUUCAAGACGUCAGUUCGUAUUCAAUAAGUUGUCCACAUGCAAGUGCACCUACAGUUUUCAACACGUCAGAGGUAUUCAAUAAGUUGUCCACAUGCAACUGCACCUAGAGUUAUUAACACGUCAGAGGUAUUCAAUAAGUUGUCCAUAUGACGCCGCAUUGGGAAUCAGUAAUAUAUUUUCAAUCAUGUCCAAUCACAUAAAAUAAUGGCAUACUUUUUCUCAAUAACCUCACACAAGUGAAGCAAUUUUAAAACCCUUACUGAAUAUUUGUCCUAGUCUAUAUGAGUGAUUAUAUAAUCAGUCUGCAUUUUUUUCACAGUAUAUGUUAACUUUGAGAGGGAUUCCACAAACAUAAAAUAUAAAGAAAGCAAGAAAUAGUAGGAGAUGAACCAGUAGAAAAAACAAUAUAUAAAUGGUACAUAAUAAUUCCAUAACCUUGUCACAAACGCACUCACAAAAGCUUUUCCAUAAACCUUGUCCUAACAUAUAAUAAAUAAAGGCAACAUUGCAUAUGAUGCAACCAUGUCCAAAUCUGAUACGUGAUCAAAAACAAAUGGACAUGGCAGCAACAUAUGACUGAAGUAGAUGGGCUCUUUGCAUCUUGUGUUUUCGUAAUUAAAGACAUCAAAAUAUUAAGGUUUAAAUCUUCCAUAGUAGUUAGCAUCAAAAUAGCUUUGAAGCAGAGUGUAAAGAAAAUUCCAAUUCCACUGAUUUGCCUCUGCUCAAACACGAGAACCAAAAUGGUUACUUCCCUUGCUGAGUAUAUUUGGUGACGUCGGAAACGGUAAUAGAUGAUCAAUCAAACCCAGGUACGACGAGUUUUGCAUAGGAUCGGAAGUAGUCGAAUCCAGCUUGCAUCACACGCUUCUUUGACUCCACUGCAUUAGAUGAGUUCUUGUAUUUUUGAACAGCUACACUCCGAAGUCGUUUGUGUCUACGCUUCAUGCGCUGCAACUUCACCCUAUCCAGAUUGGCCUGCCUUUUGUCAUCUUCAAUUUGGCCUUCAACAAAUUCCAAACGUGCCCUUGCCCUUUGGAUUUCAUCACCAAGUUGAAGAUGCCUCUCCUUCCAAAAAGCAACAACUCUUUCAGACUCAAAACUUCCAACAAAAUGGUCAUUCUGUCUAGGAAUGUGACAUUGCUUGUCUGGUGACUCACUUGCGUGUCGAAGGCGGUCUUUGUUUGGAGGGGUGUUUAUUAUGCUCACAUCAAACUUGGUUAGUAAAUCCAUUCUUUGGGGGGAAUGAGUUUGUUUGCUUGAGAGAGUAUCAGUAGAUGGAGACAGAUUCGGUGGAGGAGUGAGUUUUGUGUGGAAGGAGAAUUUAUAUGAAAGGGGUGAUAGUAAUACCAAGAAAAGGGUUCCCGCCAAAAAAUAUUUGGUUGAGAAUGUAUAAAUUAAUUUUUGGUCUGAUACAAUCUAAGUUGAAUCCUAACUAGUUUGGUUGAGUUAACUAAGUAGAUGUCACUUCCAUUGAGUUUCUUUCAACCACUAUCAGUGGUGUCAGGAGAGUGUGAGGUUGACAUGCUUGAAAAGCAAAACCUGACACCUAUUUUUAAAAAAUUCCAUAAAAAAAGUACAUAUGUUGACUACACACAAGCUUUGGUAUGUUGGUCUAUAAACCUAUGUUCCCUUUCUCAAACGAAAUUGCAUAUGCAAUCCUCAUCCUCCCAAAACAAAGAGGAUUAUUCAAGCAUGUCAACCUCUUCAGGCGCCAACAACACAAUCGAAGAUGACAAAUUGGAGUCGCAGGUUCUAUUUCCACAUUGUACUCGCCGACCCCUUCCUUUUUCAACAUCAUUUGGGAGUGAGGGGGACUCCGAUGAUCCAUUAGAGGCAAUACAUGCAGUCAGUGGCAAGCUGGAUUAUAAUUCCAGACUGAUCAAUUCAUGGCACGAGAAAUGUGUUGAAGACGAGGCAAUUUUGGCUGAUCUUAACAUUAGAGUGAACAAAGCGUUCUCCCAAAAGAACAAGUACUUGAAGCUGAGUCAUAGCAGGAAGCUGAAAGCUGAGGAGUUGGAUACAGUAAUGAAUGAUGAAAUGAAAGGUUGUUUGCUGAACCACAUGCGAUGCGAAGAGCACCAUAGUGAACUGGAGUUGGCAUUCAACGAAGGAUUCGACAAAUUUCGAGCAUUUGCGGCAACUACUCAUACAAGUUAUGAUUGGAACUAUGUGUCCCCUGAUGCUGUGAGAGAGAUACUAGACGAUGGGGGUGACAUGAAUGAGCAUAAGCACGUCAAAGCUGCUCGGAAGAAGCCGACCGAUACGACUAAGUGAUUGCGGCUACCGCUGUUCAGUUGGUUGAGGGUGACCGUGGUAUUGCACAUAUACUCCCUUAAUGUCAUUAUCUAAUUUCAAAUAACACAAAUAUCAGUUUCAUUUGCUUCAUAUAUAAUUAUUGGGACUAUGUAUUGCAAGUCAUCAUGUGUUAUAAUGUCUAACAUUAUAUUUUGCAAAUAUGGAAAUAUUAUUCAAUAAGCAGUCAAUAUCACAGCAAGCCGGGAAUCAGUAAAUGCUCCUUAUCAUGUCCAUUUACAUUAAAGAGCUGGCGUACUAAUGUGUUCAAAAAAAACUGAGACGUGAGUCAUAAGUAACAUAACAUGUGCUAUACAUUGUUUACUGAAUGGUUUAUGGUUUAUUUUUAUAUAAUAAAAUUCCAAAUAUUGCUGAAGAUUUAUUUCGUCUAUAUGACUAGGGAUAUGAGUGGCCAUAAGCAUGUGAGACCUGCUAAGAAGAAGCUGACGAGUACGACCGAGUGAUUGUGGCUACCGUUGUUCAGUUGGUUGGGGAGAUCGUGGUAUUGCUAAGAGGGAGCACAUAAUAUGUUUUGCAAUCAAAUGUUCUUUUGUGUGUGGAAUUAUGAGUAUUUAUGUAAGUUAGUGUACCCUUUAAUAUUUUUCACCUAAGUAUCGAAAUGUAAUUAGCUGCAAUGUUAUGUUUCAUUUUUACACGCUGCUUUCUAUUUGCUCUGUUCCAACAAAGUGCUUCAAGUAUCCUUCAGUUACAAAAGUGUACAAAAUCGUGCCCCUAAUAACCAGUCGUCAAAAGUGGCUACUGCUGGAAAUGAUUACUGGUAAUGGAAACAACAGCUGGCUGCUGGAAAUGCUGCAUUAGCCUGAGGAUUUGAAAAAUGAAUCUCUGUUAAAACAUAAUUCACCCUAAACUGCCCAUUUUACAUGGUAAAGGUCAUUGCUUCUUCACAUAACUACAAAUUUCAUACUUGAUCAAAUGUCUAUGAAAAUUUAUAAAUAGGGAGAAGACGUAAAAUUAACAUGUCUCCAAAUUUCAUGGAAGAAUGAAACCAAGGAAAUUUUCAUUUCAAUUACCAGUGGACAUAGUAAGAGCUCAUCGGUGGACAUGAACAAAAACACAAUAAUAUUCAAAAACUGAAUCUAUAAAACUUCACCUGAUCAUUAAUCUUCAUAACAACCACAUUUCGUCUAAUACAAAUAUAAAUCAUUUAGUUGGUCCGUGCAUCCUGUCAAAAUCGUCGAAUAAUGGGUCACUACGAUGUAUUGGAGUUGAUUCGUCAUUGUUCGACGGUGAUGUCCUGCAUAAACAUCAAACACAAGCACAUAAAAAUUUUACCUUUUCAUAUUUUAGAUGUUAUUACAACUAGUGUUAGCAUCUUACGGUGUGUUCAAGGCUGGGCAUUGUCUUCUAUCAUGACCAAUGUGUCCACACUCCCGACAGUGUCUAAUCCCUCGCUUCAUUGCCUUUUCCUUUGCUCCCGUUACUCCUUUCGACCUUCCUUUGCACCUCACUCUCUUAGGGUCUUUCAUAUAUUGUGUUUGAGAGCUGGACCCUCCAACUUCGUUAUUACUUAGUCCAUCCUUCAGCAACUUUAACUUCACCUGCAAACUUUUUAGAGUCUCUGACAGUAGCUCACAUCCUUCUUCACUCAUUAAUGCAUCCUCAACCACAUCUGAAGCAAGUCGAGACAUUGUACUCCGCUUUAUUAGAAGGCCAGGAUCUGCACAGUCUUUAAUUUCGUUGCCAUUUGCAUCUGACACCAUUCCAGAUUUCGCAGUUUUCUUCCACCUCUUCAAAAUAUAUUUAUCGGGCAUAUAUUCAAUCUGGUCCCUUCUGAACAAUGCUAGGAUGUGCUUGCAAAUAAUUCCAACAAAUUCAAAUCUUUUGCAGCUACACGAUGCGUGGUCAGAAUCUUUGACAUAUACGACUUCUGCCACUCUUGUUUCCCAAUUUUUCCUUUCGCUCACGUUAAAGACAACUUUACAAGCAUCCUCUGUUUUGAGCUCUAGGAAACAUGCUGUACUUUGUAUUAGUUCUUGCUCAAACUUUUGAAACAUUGUCCUUGUGUACAAGGUAGCCAUUUGUUUGUUCAUUGGCAUCGGUAGAAGACAUUGAGCCACUUCAAAUGCAUCUACGUGAUCAGCAACUAACUCUUUUUCACGUUGAUGAGAAAGUGCCCUCUCAAAUCGUAUUAUGAAAUCCAUCAACGAAUUUCUCCUUGAUAUGUAUUGCUUGAAAAAACCAUGAGAACCUUCCGCUCUUUGGCUGCUUGACAUUCCAGCGGCAAAAAAUUGUCGUGCGUAGGCUGGAACCCAAGAUUCCCUUAAAUCAAACAUUGAACUUAGCCAUGGAUGGUCGGUCAAACCAGCCUUUGUAACCACAAUAUUCCAUUUUGCAUCAAACUCAUCCUUAUUGUCAGUAUCCCAUAUGGCUUUCUGAAAUUCACGCCAAUACUCCUUAUAAGCGUCACGUGGUAACUUAACAGAGAACUUUGAUGUGAUGUGCCAUAUGCAAAGUCGAUGAAAUGUACUCGGGAAGGCUAUUGAAAUCGCUAUGGCCAUUGCCGCAUCUUGAUCUGUAAUGAUCGUUUUAGGUUCCCCACCUGGCAUGGCUUUCUUAAACUCCUCAAACAUCCAAACAAACGACUCAGUCGUUUCCUUGCUCAAAAAUGCACAUGCUAAGACAAUUGUUUGACCAUGGUUAUUAACUCCCAACAUUGGUGCAAAUGUCAAGUCGUAUCGAUUCGUGUUGAAUGUGGUAUCGAAUACAACAACAUCUCCAUAAAACCCAUACGCCCGUCUAGAAGUUGCAUCUGCCCAAAAACAUCGACUAAACCUGUCAUGCCCAUCUCCCUCAAUCUUGAAAUAAAAAGCCUCAUUUUUUUUCUGUUCAGCCAUAAAAUACUCGGUCACUAGUUCAACAUCGUGGUUCCUCAGCUUCCCAUUCACACUACAUUCAAGAUUGUAGAUAUCUUUUUUGAUAAAACCGAUUUUAUCCAUUCCUCCGGAUUGCACCUUGAAAAUACUUACCUUAUGAUGAAUGGGAAUAUUAACUGAACCCAACUGUUUUGUGAGUACUUUGUAGAAUCUGAAAUAUGACGGUGUGAUCUCAAUAAAUGCAUUCUUUCUGAGGGUGUCAUCUUAUGAUUGUGUCCCUCUGCAAAAAGAGAUAUGGUAUACUUCUUGCUCCCAUUUGUCUUCACAACCACAAUCUUAGCUUUGCAAUUGCAUCUACUUAUUCCCCGUUGUCUUUUUCUCUCCCGAGUUUCAUCCUUCCUGUAUGCACCUUGUUUGCAACAUACAAAUUCUUUCCUCAAAAUCUCUUUCUUAUUUUUCCCCCAAAAGCUAGAAUGAAGUCGAAUACCAAAGCCAGCAAAGAAUGCAUAUCUAUUAUAGAAAUUGUAAACGAGGUCAAGCGAGUCAAACUUCAUCCCAACUGCUGGUGUUUCCUCAUUUCUUACUUCAGGAAUAUAAACCCUCCCAUUAGCUGUUGCACAUUCAUCACUCUCUGAGCCCCCAGACAUUUUAUCUACGUAUAUUAUUGAUCCACUUCUAUAUUACUGCAUAGCAAUUAUUCAUUCAUUAAUCAGUCAUUACUGCAUCACAACAUAUCAAUGCAUUCCACUUACACAAAACAUUGCCCAAAUUGACACAAAAUACGCAUAGCCUAACUUCCGAUUACACAAAACGCAAGCAAAAUUUCAUAAAAGUUACGUCAUCUCUUGUGAAAUAAUCUGGUCAAAAUAACAUUAGAACCAACAUGUUCAACUAAGAACACAAAUGUAAUUCAAACCACCAAUUACAGAACUUCACCCAAUAUCCUCUCCAACUGCUUACUCCUAAUGUCAUUAAGCCUAAGUUUAGGUUCUUUUACCUACAUUUCAUAAUUUUCCACCCCGACCAACAACAAUGAACUAAGAAUAUUGAAUAUUCAUAAGGAAAUGACACAUUAUUGAUGCCACAAAUGACGAAUUUCCCACCCUCACAAAAGAUAAACCUAACCCAAUAAAAUCAAUCCAGCAAGUGAACUUACCUCUCAAAAUCAAUCGGGAGCUCUGAAGUCAGUCAGCUUGAAAGAAUGUGGUGGACAUUACAGAAGACUCUUUGGUAUUUGAGACUCCAUCUCUACCAAAAUCGAGGAACAACUGCUGCUGCGGCUUCUAGCUACAAAAACAGAUAUGCUACUUUGCUUUCAUCUGGAAUCUUGUCAGCUGAAUGAAAAAGAGAAGGGGUUUUCACUUGAGCCAUAGAAUCAAAACAGGGCAACAGCUAGGUAAGAGCCAUUCUUCGUAAUACCCAGGAUACCAUAGAUCGCAGGCCUCCCAACGAGCUAAUGACAGUCGAGUGACUAUAAGGUUUGGGAGAUUUGGAUCCUUCUAAUUGUGGGUUUGCUUUACAUUCAAAAAGAAAGGAUUGUGUUCUUCAGUUUUUCACAGAGAGGGAAAGAGGGGAACAACUGAAGUUGGGUUUCUAACGGGUUAGAUUUCAACCCGAUUCUACAUGCACCCUCUUUUAAAAACUCACCGUUGGAUGAAAUCCAACGGCUCUUACAUGCCCCUCAAAAACACCCCUUAUAACUUCCCACUCACUAUAGAAGCUCCCCUGUUUGUGUUGUUGAAUUGGGUCUUUUAGUUGUUUUUGUAAACUCUGAUUUAAGUCUAGUUUGGUAUUGCUGUACUUUUAAAAAAAACUACUUCCGCUGUGCUGCUAGAAUACUCAGCUGUAAAAAAAAUUAGUUAUGCUUUUGGUAAACUAUAUUUGAAAAAGUGCUGUGAGUAAUCCAAAUGUUUGGUAAAUGACCAAAAAAAAGUGCUUUUAAUACGUACAAUGACUAAAAAGGACAUGAUGAUGGAACUAUUUGAUUUUUUCUUCAUUCUUUUUCUACUUAAAAAAAACUUCACUACAUAAUUUUUUUUUCUUUUUUUAUUUAUACUAUACACGUGUUCCUCUCUUCUCAAAAAAGUAAAUGCCUUUUGUUAUGUAUUGAAUGCUAACCCAACGACACCAAUUGGAAACCCAACACAGCCCAUCUCUCCACUUCAAUUUUUCUCUUUCUACCAUUUACAAGUUUUUUUUCUUCAUUCCUUCGUCUAACCAAAAAUAUCUCAUGUUUCCCCCAAUUAGUUUUAGUACUUUUGGGUAGGUGAGACUGAAAAGGGGAAAAAUUGUAUGUUGGGUUUAUGUUUUGGUGUUCUUGCAAUGGGAGAUAACAUAGUGGAGAAAGUAGCCAUGGUGAAAAUACAGAUUUCUGGGUUGCAGCCAUGGAGAUUUGAGCUGAUUUACAGUGCUGUAGUGGGGGUAGUUGAAGCCCCCCCAAAGUUGGGACUACUGCAACAGGAUCUUUCCACCCAAAACCAAAAACAAGAACAACAAACUCAGGUGGAACAUGAAACUCAUCACUCUCUCUCUUCCUUCGACUCGGGUUUUCUCUCUUCUUCCUCAAACCUGCGACAAAUAGAAAAACCCCCAAUUUAACAGAGAAAACUCUAGAUGCAGAAAGUUUGAGAAGUAGAAAACCAAAAAACCAUAAUUGUAAUUAAGUUAUUGAUGAAUGGGCAACCUUCUUAGCAAUUAAUUUUUUGAUGUCCACAAUGAGAGUUCCAGCAGCGUCAGAGAGUAGAGAAGGAAAUGAAGGAAAUAGAGUUCACAGAAUGGAGAAGAAAAAAGGGGCAAAAGACCGUCAAUUUGUAAAAUAAGUGAGGGUAUUACGGGAAAGUUAAAAGUUCAUUAAAACAACCGGUUAAAUUUUUUUUGAAGCAGCUUUUAAAAGCUUGGUAGAGACGGCUUCGAAAAAACAGCGAUCAUUGACUGCGAUUUUAAAAAAAAGCAGGAUUCCUGAUGUUUUCCAAACACCCAACUCAUGAAAUUUUUUUAUUAAAGCUGCUUUUUAAGAAAAUUAAACGCUGCCAAACACCACCUUAACCAUUUUCUUUGCGUGUGCCAAAUUUAUAAUUUUGACCAGUGUCAUGCAGGAAAAUGUUUCAUGCUUUGUUAACAGGGGGCUUUCGAUGAGUAUUUUAUUUAGAUGAAAAGUGAUUCAUUCCUUUCCUUUAUGGAUUCAUCUUGUUAGGUUGAUCUAUUGAAGAAUGAGCUUGGAUUUGAUGAGGCUUUUAACUAUAAAGAAGAGGCUGACUUGAAUGCGGCUUUCAAAAGGUGCAUAUGAGUAAUGAUAGAGAGAUUACAUUUAUAAACCCUAGCGGACCAUGAAUAUAAUGAGUCUUAAAUCUAUUAGACAAUUGGUUAGUUGACAGGUGGUAUACAAAGCAGUCUACAAAUGUGAUCUCCCUAUCAUUUUCCGUAAAAUACAUAUUUAUUAUGUUAUACUAGUUUCCUUUAGUAAGAAAAGAAAGGAAAAAAACUAUUAUUAAGAAUUUGUGUGUUGUUAGGGUUCAUCAUUGGGCUGGGCCAACUCAAAAAUUUUGGGUUCGAGCCGAGCCCUCAUGGGCCGAAAUGGGCCAGACUUUUUGUUAAAAAGUCUUUUCAAUCUUUUUGUUACACAUUUCGUUUUUUCAAAAGUGAUGGAUAUAGAGUAUUCUCUUAAACAAUAGUAUAGAUUACUACAUAAUUUAAGAAAACAAAAAUAUAAUAGCCAAACUUUUUUACUAAACCUAGACCAAUAACCAAUAUAUUUAAAAAAUAUUAUACCUAAAAAUGAAUCUUAUGAUGUGCAAUUUGUGCCUUAAUUAACUUAUAUCCCAAAUUAGGAUUGACAUCAUGAAAAUUAAAGCAAUUUGUGCCUUUAAAAUUAAUAAACCCAGAAUAAGCUUUCAAAUUCUUUAUUGAACCGUUAAAUUUGAACUUGACAAAAAAGGGGCACUAAGAGAUAUAGUGCAUAUAUUGCUUGUUUGUUACAAAAUUUUAGACAACAUUGAAAAAAUUAACUUAAUUUAUAACAUGUGUAAACAAAAUAAAAAGUUUAUUAGUUUAUCAUACAUAUUACAUUAUUUUGAUUAAGUAUAAAAUGAGGUUAGGGAAUGCAUCAAUUAAUCUUAAAAAAAUGAAAAGCAUAAGCGGGCGGGCCGAGCGGGCCUAACCAUCUUGCUAGGCUGGACUUUGACCCAUCAAGCCUCGGACUACCCACUUCGGAGCCGCGGGCCAAAUGAUGAUCCCUAUAUGUUGUAUAUGAUGCUUUGAAGCUUGAGCUUUCUUGAGUGAAGGAUAAAUUUUCUUUGUAAUUACCAUACACUUGCCAGGUAUUUCCCUGAAGGCAUUGAUAUUUACUUUGAGAAUGUUGGAGGCAAAACGCUAGACGCAGUGCUCCUCAACAUGAGAGUCCAUGGCCGCAUUGCUGUAUGUGGAAUGAUCUCACAGUACAAUCUUGAUCAAGCAGAAGGGGUAACAAAUUUGAUGCACCUUGUGUAAAAACGUAUCCGCCUCCAUGGAUUUUCGGUAAGAGAUCACUAUCACAUCCAUCCGAAAUUCGUGGAGUUUAUGCUGCCUUACAUUAGGCAAGGAAAGAUUGUUUAUGUGGAAGACAUAGUUGAAGGCCUUGAGAGUGGUCCAAGAGCGCUGGUUGGACUUUUUAAGGGUCUUAACUUUGGAAAACAAGUAGUUGACGUCUCUGCAUGAAUAAGUUGUUUUGUCAAUCGAUUUGGUGUGCUUGUGUUUCUAACCACUAUAACUUUGUUAAGUGGCUCUUUGGUUUUAUUUUUAUGUUUUUGGAUCCUUUUUGGGAUUGCAUAUGUUAAGUGGUGCACUUUGUCAUACAGAAGAUAUUCAUCAAUAAUAAGGGCUAAUUCAGGAUUGUUGUCACUUUUAAAAAAAGAUGCUUCUGUUGUGUUUUGGAAAUAAUAAGCUGUAAAGUAGUUCCAUGCGUGUUAAACAAUAUUUUUAAAGUGUUGUUAGUAUAAAAAGUUAUGUCAAAACCGUUUGGUAAAUUUUGAUAUAAAACUAGUAACUGUUGAUAAUGACUAAAACAUACAUGAUAUGUCGAAAGUGUUACGUGGUAACCAUAUGGUGGUGGUGGCGGUGGUGGUAUAGGUGGAGGUUGAGUUGGUGGUGGUGGUGGAGGUGGAGGUGGUGGUGAGGCGUGCUACGGGCACCAACUUAAAUACUAAUUUAAUGAUACCAACCUAUGUGGCAUAUGACAUGACAAUUUAUGUCAUAUGCCACAUCAUUUUUUUUAUUAGUUAAGUUUUAACAAUUUUUUGUCAGAAUUAACUUAAUUAUUUAGUUUUAAAUAAAUAAAUUCUGCUCCACGCCUCCCUUCCUUCUCGGAUCUACUACCAUGGCCUCCUUCCUCCCCAACUUGUAUGCCCUUAUUAUUACGCACAUUGAAUUUGGCUUUCGGGGUGUGACAUAUUUUUACCAAUCCCAUGAAGCUUUUCUUAUCUUUGAAUGCUUGAGUGCUAACCAUUGUGUGUUUCCCUUGCUUUAGGAAGAUUGCCUCACUCAGCAAGAAUGCAUGGUGAGGUGUUUGUGAAUGGUGCAAAAUCGGUACAUGUACAUGGCCACGACACCGAUAUAUAAAUGAGAAGAGAAUUCCUUGGUCAGUAUCAAUAUUGCGAAACUGUUGCAGCAUUGAAGGGUUGUGUGAACUCCUCGAUUUCAAGCGAAGUCGAAUAUUGCUUGAUGUGGAAGAUGGCUCAAACUAAUAAAAAUGAGGAAAACGGAUCAUACCAACAAAAAUAUGGCAGAUGGCCAGAAUCAAUAUAACCGUGGUCAGAUUUGGGAAGUGAGGCCAUGGCAGAUUCGGAGAGGGAGGGAGGCCAUGGCAGAUCUAUAAAGGAAUGGAGAAACAGAUCACACCUCUUCCCUUCUCCUCAUACCACAACUCAUCAUACACACCCAAUCGAUUUUGAAAUAUUACAUAAAAGUUGUGAUGGCGCUGGAACUGCAGAUUCAGAACGUUUUUUAUAUGCUUCCCACAAGCAGUCAGACAAACCCUUAGAGGACGAGUGACAUCAUUACCUUCUCAACUUACCAAAGAAAGAACUCCUUCCGAAGUGGUAACCACUUGCCGAUGCUCCCAACUACAGAACCAAGUUUCCAUGGACACGUGUCACCUCCACAAUAGUUUGCACAAAGUCCGACAUUGAAACUUUGUGCAAAACUCCCAUUUUCAGGGAACAGUACCUAAGGAAAAGGGGUAACUACUUUUCACAUUUACUGUUACUCUGCCAAAAUUACCACAUAUACUCGCUGACUUAAGUAUUGGAGAGUCUUCGGCAGGUACCACACCAGUGUCCGAAGCUUGACGAUCCCUUCUUCCUUGUUUUCUUAUGCAAGAUCCCUCCAUACCGAAGGUCCACAACCUUCUCCCUUGCUGAAGAUUUAACACUCCUUUAUCUAAGUUAACCCUCCGAAAAAGAGCAUCAACACGCGCAGCACUCAUUAUCUUUCAACAAUCUGAUUAUCUUAUACUAGUUAAUUUAUGGGUUGUUUGAUAACAAUUUCAAUUUUAAUUUUUAGUUUUCAUUUUCAUUUUUUUUGAAAACUGAAAACAUGUUUGGUAUUAGAUUUCGUUUUCAAAUUAAAAAAAAAGUGAAAUCUAGUUUUCAAAAUCACCUUUUUUUUAAAAAACAACUUGGAAGUGUUUUAUGUUUUUUUUUUAUGUUUUUUUUUUUUUUUUUUUUUUUUUUGUGCACUAUUGUUUGUUGGAGUGUUAGUUGACUUUCUUUGCACACCAAGGUUUCCCAUAUUAACUCAUGCAUAGAUUGGAAUUGAUUUCCUACUCUAAAUAGUAUUAGAAGUUAUUAAUUACCUUACUUAGCCUUCAAGGAAUAUUGUAUUAUAAAUAUGGCCUUCUACAAGGAGAAGAAUACACAGAAAAUUCUCACCACAAUUACUCUUUCGUAAUUUUAGCAUUAUUUCAUUCAUAAGUUUCACAUCACCACACAUGAAAUGCACUCCGGUUACCAAAAGUCGGUAUUUGGGACCUCCCAACUUGGACUUGGUCGCUCAAUUCGUGCUUUUGGCCACAAUCCCAAUCCAAACCUCGUCAACUCCAUGUCCAAAGGUCACUAAAAAAUAAUCAUAAUUUUAAAAAAUUCACCAAAAAAUAUUACGAAUUUUUUGUCAUUCCUGCUUUAACUUUACCUUUUGUUUUCAAAUGUUGACCCGUCCCAACCCAACUCUCAAUGCUCGAAGGGUUCUUUCGUGUAGUUAAGAGUUGGGUUUUCCAAGGUAGGUCUAUAUUGAUUCGAACAACUUUGCGGUAUAUCUGUGGGUAAGAUACUGUUCUCAAAGUAGUAAAGGCUGAACUAAAAGGCUAAAUGGGAAAAUGAAUACUUUCUUUUCUCUUCCUCAAGAAACAUACAUCCUCACCACAAGAGAGGGAGAGUUGCUUGGUAUUUUGUUAAAUAAAAUAAAAUAAUUAAUAAUUGAAAAUAGAAAAUGUUUGAAAAGGAUAUUGGGAAUAAAGAGAGAAGAUGCGGGUGUGAGUAAAAUAACAAUAAAAGAAAAUUAAAUCAAAAAUAAAAAAAUAAAAAAAUAAUUAAGUUUUGGGGAGUAGAAAUCGGGAUGGAGGGGGGAGAGAGAGGUUUUUUUUUAAAAAUUUUUUAUUCGUAUUUUAAUCAAUUUUGAUAUUGUUGAGGCCCAAAAAAGUUACGGGAAGCCCAAAGACAUUUAAAGCCCAAUAUAACAUAUAUUCUCAGUCAUGCGUUAAUCCAAGCUGUAAUUCGGAUUUAAUUCAUUAAAUAAAUAUAAAAUAGUGUACAUGUCAUGCUAAACUAAUAAUACAUUUUCCCCAUGCUAAUCACCUAUCAAGCUCACAUGAACCCAAGUCAUGUGAUUUACGGGCUUGCAUGAGGGAUUGUGGUGUGGAAGGUUACGGAGGUCCACAAGGCCCACGGAAGCUCUUGGAUAACAGAGACUUUGGGCUAGCUACUUGAGAGCACCAAAGUCCAAGCCCAUUACUUAGAGUUCUCCAAUGUGGGUGAGCAAAUGAGACAUUUUUCAAGCACUGCCUUUUACCUAUAGGAAAUAGUCAUUUUCCAAAUACCAAGCUUUACCCGUUGGAAACAAGCAUUUUCCAGCACUUCCUAUUACCCAUUGGAAACAAGCAGUUUCCAGUGCUUCCUUUUACCAAUAGGAAAAAAUCUGUUUAUGAUACCUAGCUUUACCUAUUGGAAAAUAGCAUGUCCUAGUCCUCCCUUUUAACCAUUAGAAAUAGGUUGGUUCCAAUACCUCCCUUUACCUAUUGGAAAUAAAGGAAAACCCUCACCCUCUAUAAAUUGGCACUCAUGGCUCAAGCAAAAGGCACCAAUUUUUCUUCAGCCAAUACUUCCUCACUCGGCUACUGCAAGCAUCCCAGCAGCCACCAACCCCCAUAAAGCAUCACCUAGCUCCAAGCUUUUCCUUCCUUCCAAGCUUUAAACACCAUAGCCUUUAAACCUCAAGCUUUUCCUUCCAUCCUCCUUCUCUUGAAACUCUUAAAUCCCCAUAGCCAUAGCCACACACAACAAAUUAUCAACACCAAACUCAAACAUAUCCAACACCAAGCCAAGCACAUGCAUUCUCAUUUGCUAAACUUGUGGGUCUUUAGCUCCUACACUCCAAGCUCUCAUGCUAAGCUCACAUAAUCUCAUACCAACAUCAGCAAGUCAUCUUCAACUCUUCGUCGAGCUGCCGAAAACAUCAACACAAAACAUGCAGCCGUUGGAAGAAGAACAAAGUACUCUCCCGGGACUUGCUUUUCCCUUGGGACACUUUGGGCCUAGUUCUCGCUAACUCAGAUAAAGGAACAACGAAGUCUUCAUUCAUCACUCUAUGGCGACCCAAGAAUCAACAAAGCCCGGAUGAGCCUUCGAACGAAAGUGACCACAUGCAAAGCUCAAGCUUCAAUAGCCAAGCCCAAGCUUUUGGUUCCUAAAAACAUGCUUACGACAGCUGCAACAAACAAUACCUAAGUCACCAUAAGUGAUAUGCCCCAGCGUCUCAAGCACUUUCUAUGCCCUGACAAUUCUAAUGAUCAAGUUUUAGAGUCAAACCAAAAGGCCAUUGGGAUGUCUCAAUUGCCACAAUUCCAUAAUCAAUCAUCAUCAAGCCUCAAGCCUUAUUCAAGAAAUCCAAGCACUAUUCUUUACUCAAGAAGGAAAACAUCUCAGUUCGUGGCAAAUAGAAGGAAAAUACUACGAAGGUACCGGAAGAACCUAAACACUGUCAAGAUGAAGUUUCCUUUACCAAGCAAUCAAAAUUUUUGAAGUGAUGUCAAGCUAUCAAGAAAAAGAGUAAAGUCACUAUGCAACACAACAACCAAAAUAUGCUUGUAGUAACCAAGAUUCAAGCCAAGCAAAAUGUGGAAGAUAAUGAUGCGUUGUAUGAAAUGCUCCUGGAAGAUAACACAAGCCCUAUAGUCAUGCUGCCGGAAGAGUGAACCAUCAUGCCACUAAAUUUGAAAGAGGAGCCCCAUAUCUGAGUACUGGAAGGCAGCGCAGUGGACUCCAAAACUAAGAUCUAGUCCAAGUGACUUAAGGCCUCCAUAUUGCAAUGCUUAUUUGCCAACACCUAUACCGCUUUCAAGCUACUGCAGACACUAUCAUGCUCAAAUCCUUAAGCAUCUCCCAUUGUAUUUUCAUCUUCUAAUCUACCAAAGCCCUCAUGAUUGACCAAGCUAUAUCUUGAUUCAACUCCACCCACUUGCUCUUUACAGCAGCCCAGGCCCAUCUGUAGCUGCCGGAACAAAAAAGCCCCAACGUAAAUGACAAAACCGAAACACUAAAGCACAUCCACCAUGCUAAAUAGCCCAAAAGCUAUAUUAAACCACGACACUUUAGCCAAUACCAAGCGUACAAGCCAAUGCCCAGCAUCCAAGCAUACAAGCCAAAGCUUAGCGUACAAGCCAAUACUAAGCAUACAUGCCAAUGCCAAGCAUACACACCAAUGCCAAGCAUCCAAGCCAAUACCAAGCGUACAAGACAAAGCCAAGCAUACAAGUCAAUACCAAGCAUACAUGCCAAUGCUACGCGUAUACGCCAAUGCCAAGCAUCUAAGCCAAUACCAAGCAUACAAGCCAAAGCCAAGCGUACAAGCCAAUACCAAGCAUAUAUGAGCCCAAGAUCAAGCGUACAUGCCAAUGCCAAGCAUCCAAAUCAAAUACUAAGAAUACAUGUCAACAUCAAGCAUACAUGCCAACACCAAAUAUACACGUAAAAACCAAGGAAGCAAGCACGGAUGUUUCAUGCAUAUUGAAGAACCAGCCAUGUCAUGCCACUGCCAAUUAUUUUGGGCUGAAAUAGAUUAUUGGGCCCAUCUCACUGCCACUUCAUAGCCCCAAUAAUCAAGGGGGCUAAUGUUGAGGCCCAAAAAAGUUACGGGAAGCUCAAAGACAUUCAAAGCCUAAUAUAACCUAUAAUGUCACUCAUGCGUUAAUCCAAGCUGUAAUUUGGAUUUAAUUCAUUAAAUAAAUAUAGAAAUAGUGUACAUGCCAUACCAAAAUAAUAAUACAUUUUUUCCAUGCCAAUCACCUAUCAAGCUCACAUGAACCCAAGUCAUGUGGUUUAUGGGGCUUGCAAGAGGGAUUGUGGUGUGGAAGGUUACGGAGGUCCACAAGGUUCAUGGAAGCUCUUGAAUAAUGGAGACUUUGGGCUAGCUACUUGGGAGCACCAAAGUCCAAGCCCAUUACUUAGAGUUCUCUAAUGUGGGUGAGCAAAUGAGACAUUUUUUAAGCACUUCCUUUUAUCCAUAGGAAAUAGUCAUUUUCCAAAUAUCUAGCUUUACCCGUUGGAAACAAGCCUUUUCCAGCACUUCCUAUUACCCACUGGAAAUAAGCAGUUUCUAUUACUUCCUUUUACCAAUAGGAAAUAAUCUGUUUAUGGUACUAGCUUUACCUGCUGGAAAAUAGUAUGCCCUAGUGCUCCCUUUUAACCAUUAGAAAUAGGUUGGUUCCAGUACCUCCCUUUACCUAUUGGAAAUAAAGGAAAACCCUCACUCUCUAUAAAUUGGCACUCAUGGCUCAAGUAAAAGGCACCAAUUUUUCUUCAGCCAACACUCCCUAACUCAGCUGCUGCAAGCAUCCCAGCAGCCACCAACCCCCAUAAAGCAUCACCUAGCUCCAAGCUUUUCCUUCCUUCCAAGCUUUAAACACCAUAGCCUUCAAACCUCAAGCUUUUCCUUCCAUCAUCUUUCUCUUGAAACUCUUAAAUCCCCAUAGCCAUAGCCACACACAACAAAUUAUCAACACCAAACUCAAACAUAUCCAACACCAAGCCAAGCACAUGCAUUCUCAUUUGCUAAACUUGUGGGUCUUUAGCUCCCACACUCCAAGCUCUCAUGCCAAGCUCAUAUAAUCUCAUACCAACAUCAGCAAGUCAUCUUCAACUCUUCGUCGAGCUGCCGAAAACAUCAACGCAAAACACGCAGCCGAUGGAAGAAGAACAAAGUACUCUCCCGAGACUUGCUUCUCCCUCGGGAUACUUUGGGCCUAGUUCUCGCUAACUCAGACAAAGGGGCAACGAAGUCUUCAUUCAUCACUCUAUGGCGAUCCAAGAAUCAACAAAGCCCGGAUGAGCCUUCGGACGAAAAAGACCCCAACAGAUAUAAAAAUACCAUUUUUCCCCUGCAGUUAACAGAAAAGUUAACAGCCGGACCAUUUGUCCUAACGAAACUGAAGUUGAAGAACUACGGGAACCAUUUUGAAAAUUGAGGUACUCAAAUACAAAUCGGGUCUAAGUUCAGGGAUUAAUAAAACAAUUAACCCCUGAGUUUAUAAUGCUCGAGAGUAUAUAGGAAGAGGACACUCCAACUGGCAGCUAUGGAGGAGGCCAAGACUAGUAGUGUCUAUUCUGUGAAAGCUAACUUUGCUUUCUUAUUAUCCACAACUUAGAUAUAUCAAUGGCUUCUUGCAAGAACCUCAAUUCUUUAUGAACUUUCUGCCCUAAAAUGCUUUAUCUAAUAGCUCAGACAAUGGUGAAAGAAAAAAAAUUGUUGUUGGAAUCUUAGCAUAAUAAUAUUUUCCAGCCAAAAUCAGUUGUUAGAUUCUCCAACAGCACAAUCUCUUUUCGCAAUCACAUACUAGUCAAUCCUACAGAGCAUAAGAUCCUACUUUGAGGGGUGGAAAGGAAUGAAUUCAACUCACCACUAUUAUGACCAAGGCAAUAAUUUUCAUUUCCAUCACAUGAUUCUAGGUGACCCACAACUCCAUACCACCAACCUGCAAUAUAUACAGAAAAUCCUAUCAAGCAAUGGACAAUGGGAAAUUAAUUAAUUUCACCUUUUAUUUAAGUUUCUGCAUAUUAAACGAAUCUACUUUCAUUAUAUAUUUAAGGGAAAUGUAAGCCUUUUUUUUCGUUCUUUACCCUUUUUUUUCCUCACCUUAAUGGGGCUUGAGGAUGUUUGAAUUGUUCGCUAGAACUACUUUCAUUAUCUAUUUGAGGCAUACUUCAUGAACCACAUGGAUUCUAGGAAGUGAUAUAGACCUUUGUUUCUUUCAUUUGAGCCCUUCUAGCCAACCCGUAUCACUUUUAUCCCUUGUUAAUCACCUUGUGCCUUUUAUGUAAGCCUUUUUUUUCGUUCUUUACCCUUUUUUCCUCACCUUAAUCUAUCAUAUGUUACCCUUCUAAGGAGUUUUGUACAGUAUUUUCGUUGUUAAGGGAGAAUUGCACAACAAUCAUGUGGAAAGUAAAGGAUACUAUUUCCAAAAAAAAAACCUAAUUUCAAACCCUUUUCAACUCGAGUUAUUGAGCCCUAUGAGUGUUUUACAUUUAAUUUCGUAAAGCUAUGUAGCUUGGGAGUCAUUGGCCUAACACUCGCUGCAUGGGUUGAUUAGAAAGCUAAUGAAGAGUUAGAAAAAAAAAUUGUGAAAAAUAAAUAAAUUUCAAGACAGUAUCAAUAUGAAGUUGCGUGCUCAAAGUGCAAGAUGUUAUAAUUUUCAUGGAAAGCUCUAUGAAUUCCUUAGAAUUUGUUCAUCCAUAUCUUUUUCUUGUUUCACCCGUCACUCUAAGCCCCAUUACAACCUUAUUUGAAGACUAUUCUGCUAUUUUCUCAAGGCGUGCAAUAUAUGACUGGAAAGAUAAGAUAAAGACCUACAAUUUACAUAUUUUUUCAGAAUUUUCUCGGAGGAGGAAUGAUUCCAAACGUGGGUGCAAAGUAACUAACGUGUUAUCCUAGUCCAAGUAGGAAGAUGAGUCAAUUACUUACCCAUUUUGGAUUUAAGUUUUAAUUAGCUGUUUCUUUAUUUUUGGGCUGUUGUAAAAGGCCAGCUAAGGUAGGAAUAGACGUGUGGCAUUUUAUUUAAGCAUGAGACAACUCCUUUGGGAAGACGCAAAGACUAGGAGAAAUUGGAGACGCCGGAAGAGUACCACAAUUGGCUAAGUUUUAUUGUUUCUUCCUUAUGUUUUUGUUUAUGUCAAAUUCUAUGAUUAUGUGUAACUAAUUUUAUUUUGCUAGGGCAUGAUGUAUGCCUAGUAUGAUAAUCUAGUUUUCUUAUUUUACCUAUCUAUUGAUUGCAGUUUGAUGUUAGAUUCUUAAUCACUGUGCUUAGUACCUUAGUUGAUUACCUUGAUGCUUGAUCACCAUCUAGACUUUUAAUUGAGUUAAUCGGAUGCGAAUUAGAGUAAAUACCAUACUUAAUUUGAGGUUUGCUUCUUGUGAUUAGAAUUUGUAAUUUGUCUAAAGUAAAUACCAUACUCCUAGAAUUUACAUGCUUGUUGGAGGUUUUCACUGAUUUCAAUAUUUUCCCGACAUGUGAUGCCAACAACAUAGAUGUUUCAAUGUUUCACUAUGGAAGCAAUCACGUAAGGAUUAACAUGGCAGGACAUCAGACAUGAGAAACUAAGAAGAGAGAGAGAGAGAGAGAGAGAGACUUGCCAUUCAAGCAAGAGAAGGCCAUAACACUAUAUAGCAAUAGCACCGUAAAAUAAGAUGCAAAGAAUGAGGGGGUCAUGUUUUCAAGUACCAAAACACGCAAGGGCAUUUUGGUAAAGUACAUCUGAAAAUAAAUCAAGGCAAGCAAAGCCGUAGAUAUCCUCUUCCUGCUACACAUAGUAUUAGCCUACGUAAGGUCAUUACGGCGCCGUUUCCCUUUUUAAUUGGCGUAGUUCAACUCAUCAUCCACCCAAGUUCAUUUCGUUCAAAGCUAUAAAUAACCCCUCAAACCAUUCAACUUUCCCACCACCACUCCUCACUCCUUCAACUCAUUAACCUCUCUCUCUCUCUCUCUCUCUCUCUCUCUCUCUCUCAUCCGCAAAUGGCGAACCGUAGAAGCCUCUUUUCUCUCUCACUUAUCUUUGUGUUCAUGAUCAACUCAGCCAUAGCCACUCCAGUCACAUACAAUGUGGCCAGUUUAGGAGCCAAAGCAGAUGGCAAGACUGACUCCACAAAAGCCUUCCUCUCUGCAUGGGCUAAAGCUUGUGC